rnacentral:lncRNA from 1 species
GACACUCCUCCCCCUGCAGCCUCAAUGCAAAUGAAUUACAAGUUCAUUCUUCGGAUGCUCAAAUCCUGAGCGCUUUCUGUUUUGCUCCUUAUUUAAAUCGCAUGCUGUUUUGAACGAAACCUUUUAUUUCCUCCCAAUUAUUAUUUCUGGUGUGUUUUCCAGAGCCCUACAGCACGGCAUCUGAUUAUACAGAGAGCUCCAGGAUGAAGCCCUGCUUUCUCCCGUCAUUACGGAUGCAAAGGGUGGCUGUGCGAGCUGAGUAGCGCGAAUCACAGCGUGGCACUGUGCACAGCAGGAGCAAAGCAGAUGCUGUGCAAAAAGAUGGAAUUUCUUCUGAAACCAGAACUUGGAGGAGGAUGUAGUAUCAGCCCUGCCUGGCCUCUCACCAAGUGAUUAGGUUGAGGGAAGGCUGAAUACAAAUCUUUCAGCUUCCUGCCAUGCACUGAAACAAUGGGGGCGAGCUGGUGCCUCUGUGCUUUGUCACCUCCUUCAGAGCACCUCCUGUAG